UACGUAGGGUGCGAGCGUUAAUCGGAAUUACUGGGCGUAAAGCGUGCGCAGGCGGUUCGUUGUGUCGGCGGUGAAAGCCCCGGGCUUAACCUGGGAAUGGCCGUUGAAACUGGCGAACUGGAGUGUGGCAGAGGGGGGGUGGAAUUCCGCGUGUAGCAGUGAAAUGCGUAGAGAUCUGGAGGAAUACCGGUGGCGAAGGCGGCCCCCUGGACAAAGACUGACGCUCAGGUGCGAAAGCGUGGGGGAGCAAACAGG
rnacentral:rRNA from 1 species